CAGACUGAUGGCCUAACGGAAGGGUGUUCAUUUUGGGAAUGAGAGACCCGGGUUCGACUCCCGGCAGUUUGA
rnacentral:tRNA from 1 species